rnacentral:rRNA from 1 species
GUGACUUACUGUACUAGGAGGUCGACCUGCCAGUGAAUCUUUUUCAACGGCCGCGGUAUUCUAACCGUGCAAAGGUAGCGCAAUCACUUGCCCCUUAAAUGAGGGCUAGUAUGAACGGUUUAAUGAGGGCCUAACUGUCUCCUGCAGCCGGUCAAUGAAAUUGAUAACCCAGUACAAACGCUGAAAUAAACCCACAAGACGAGAAGACCCUGUGGAACUUUCAACUUUCCCUGCUAGCAGUCAUCAAUAACCAUACCAACCCUAACAGCCAGUUUAAGUUGGGGCAACUACGGAGAAUAACAAAACCUCCAUGACAUACAAGUAAUACUUGUCACCAAGGCCUACACGCCUACUCACCAACGUUUGAUCCAGUAAUACUGAUUUCCGGACCAAGCUACCCCAGGGAUAACAGCGCUAUCCCCUUCAAGAGUCCCUAUCGCCAAGGGGGUUUACGACCUCGAUGUUGGAUCAGGACACCCCGGCGGUGCAGCCGCUGCCAAAGGUUCGUUUGUUCAACGAAUAACGUCCUACGUGAUCUGAGUCCAAAACCGGGAACGAACUUAAUUAACGGGGGUUUUUUUUUUUAAAA